ACCUGGUUGAUCCUGCCAGUAGGCAUAUGCUCGUCUCAAAGAUUAAGCCAUGCAUGUUUUAGUUCAUACAUAUUCAAAGUGAGACUGCGAAAGGCUCAGUAUAUCAGUUAUUGUUUAUUCGAUUGUGAAAUCCACGUGGAUAACCGUGGAAAAGCUAGAGCUAAUACAUGCGAGAAAUGACUGUGGUCUUGUGAUCAUGGUUAUGCAUUUAUUAGAUUAGAACCGGUCAAUGUUGUUGUCGUAAGGCAAUAGUAUUGUUGUGGUGAAUCUGAAUAACUGUGCCGAUCGUAUGGCCUUGUGCCGACGACGUUUCGAUUAAAUUUCUGCCCUAUCAACUUGUUGGUAAGGUAUUGGCUUACCAAGGUUAUUACGGGUAACGGGGAAUCAGGGUUCGAUUCCGGAGAGGGAGCCUGAGAAACGGCUACCACAUCCAAGGAAGGCAGCAGGCGCGCAAAUUACCCAAUCCAGACACUGGGAGGUGGUGACGAGAAAUACCAGGUCGGUCCCAAAAGGAUUCGACACUGGAAUGAGUGAAUUUAAAAAUUUCAACGAGUAGCAACUGGAGGGCCAGUCUGGUGCCAGCAGCCGCGGUAAUUCCAGCUCCAGUAGUGUAUCUAAAGUUGCUGCGGUUAAAACGCUCGUAGUUGGACAAGAGAGUGACUUGAUGCGGGCGGGUAACGCAACUACUUUGUGUAGGUUUCAAUCAGUGUAGCAUCUUCGGGUGUUACGCUGGCUGUUGCUUCAUGACUGUAUCGUUAUUCGACCAUGCUGUCAAGUUCCUCGUAUUUUUCGUGAGAAUAACUUAUUGCCUUUACUGUGUAGUGUGUUGUAACUCACGUAGUGUGCCUUGAAUAAAUCAGAGUGCUUAAAGCAAGCUAUAGCUUGAAUGUUAAUAGCAUGGAACGAAUGUUUUGUGAAAGUAUGCAAUUUUCUACUUGUAGAGGGUUGUAUACAGCACCAACCGCGAAGCAGAACAUUGGUUGCUGUCUUCGGGUGACGAUUAAGAGGGGCAAUUGGGGGCAUUAGUAUUUGGCCGCGAGAGGUGAAAUUCUUGGACCGGCCAAGGACUAACAAGUGCGAAGGCAUUUGCCAAGUUUGUUCCCUUUAAUCAAGAACGAAAGUGAGAGGUUCGAAGACGAUCAGAUACCGUCCUAGUUCUCACCGUAAACAAUGCCAACCCGGGAUCAGUUCGGAUGAACUAUUUUGGAUCCAGGUUGGUCCCCCUGGGAAACCUUGAGUUUUUAGGUUCCGGGGGGAGUAUGGUUGCAAGGCUGAAACUUAAAGGAAUUGACGGAAGGGCACCACCAGGAGUGGAGCCUGCGGCUUAAUUUGACUCAACACGGGAAAACUCACCUGGUCCGGACAUCGAUAGGAUUGACAGACUAAUAGAUCUUUCAUGAUACGGUGGGUGGUGGUGCAUGGCCGUUCUUAGUUCGUGGAGUGAUUCGUCAGGUUUAUUCCGGUAACGAACGAGACCAUGAUCUCCAUUUGGGAAACUAUACUGCUAUUUGCGAUAUAUAAACUUAUGUUUGUGUGUUGUAACUAUGUAUUAUGGUUUGCGCGCAGCAAUGUACGUGUCCCAUGGAGAGACAACCGGAUAUGAAGCCGGAGGAAGCGUGGCAAUAACAGGUCUGUGAUGCCCUUCGAUGUUCAGGGCUGCACGCGCGCUAUAAUGAUAACGACAACAAGAUUCUGGACUGAAAAGUUCUGGGAAAUCUUUCAAUCGUUAUCGUGAUGGGGAUUGAGCAUUGUAAUUUUUGCUCAUGAAAUAGGAAUUCCUUGUAAUUGCGACUCACUCAGGUCGCAAUGAAUAAGUCUCUGCCCUUUGUACACACCGCCCGUCGCUACUACCGAGUGAAUGGUGUCAUGAUGUCUUGGGACUGGAUAUUGUUAGCAGUGCAUUCUGCGGACGAUGAUAGGAGCAAGACAAAAUGGCCCUAUGUCGAGGAAGUAAAAGUCGUAACAAGGUUUCCGUAGGUGAACCAGCGGAAG
rnacentral:rRNA from 1 species